GAUGAAGAACGUAGUGAAAUGCGAUAAGUAGUGUGAAUUGCAGAAUUCAGUGAAUCAUCGAAUCUUUGAACGCACAUUGCGCCCGCUAGUAUUCUAGCGGGCAUGCCUGUUCGAGCGUCAUUUCAACCAUCAAGCCCCAGGCUUGUGUUGGAGCCCUGCGGCCGUCCGCAGCCUCCUAAAAUCAGUGGCGGGCUCGCUAUCACACCGAGUGCAGUAGUUUACUCUUCGCUCAGGACGUGUAGCGGGUUCCGGCCGUGAAACCCCCCAAUUUUCAAGGUUGACCUCGGAUCAGGUAGGAAUACCCGCUGAACUUAAGCAUAUCAAUAAGCGGAGGA
rnacentral:misc_RNA from 1 species